GUUCUAAUAUUGUGGAGUUGCUGCUUUACAUAAUUGUUUUAAAUAAUAAUAAAUAUUGAUUGCUUUUAUUACAGGUGUAUGAGGUAAGAUGAUGUUUAAAUGAGUUUCUAUAUUGAUAGCCGGAUAACUUCAUCUGAUGACGUAUAGUCUAUAUGCACUUUCUCAAGUGGCUUAAAGAUAAGAUAUGUAUAAACGAUAAUAAGUAUUUCGCUUGAUGACGUUGAGAGGAGCCUCAACGAAAAUUUAAUGUCGCUUUGAUUAAUUAACCACACUAACUAAUCUUAUUAUACUUUAUUCAUGAGGUGAAGGGGCUGGGGCUGUUGUCGAGUGCCCUUUAGAAAAUAAGGUGUGUCAUCGGUUAAAGAGACGUGGUUUGGUCCCGGAUUGUACCGUGAAUAACCUCGUGAGUUUUCUCUGAGAGGUUUCGUAAUGAAGAUGAGAGCCACAUGUCGGUCUUGAAAUGGUCUAGUUGAUGUUCGAAUUAGUGUGUAUUACCCAGGGGGGGGGGGUACAAUCUGUUAACAAAACUGGACAUACAUUCAAAAAUUGUAUUACUUUUCUUGGAUGGCAGAGUUUGACAAUGUCCCUUUUGCCACCCCUAAAUUCACACCUCCUACCGCCACAUAAUAUAUAUUUCGGGACUAACAUAAUAUAGGGGUCUUUAGCAGUAGGAAGAACCAGGUGGACUCGGAGAAAACACAUUAAAUUUGACAGGUGACGCUACUCCUUGUCACGAACAAGUGGGUAAUCGAAACCACGCCAACUGACAGAACCUCUGAUCCAACGCACACGCGUUAGCCAUUCACCCCCCCCCCCCCAACUUAAAUGAAAUAUGCUUUGACGUCCCACUUUUCUACACCGACUGGGCUAAUGAAGAUAUGUGAUAUGAGGAACUUUGUGACUACGCGUACUUCAAAUUUCAACUGUCAAGAGAUCACUUACAUGUACGCUUAUGUGUACAAGAGAUCUCGGUUUUUAUUCCCAUCCGAACGACUAAUAUAAGUUUAGUGAUGAUAACCUUUCUGUUAUUACCAUACCAAAGUUAGAUAUUUAUUGCUAAACCCAUUUCUCCAUAUUAUAUUAAUACAUUAUUCUAUUUCUUUUUGAAUGUGUUUGUAAAUUAAUAAAAUUAUAAUUCUUUCUUGAAUAGGAACUUCGAGUAUAUUAGUGAGGAGGAUUACCAGAGAAAUCAUCACUAGAAUAUAAAGAUAGACCUACAUAAUAUCAACCCAUAGCAACCGACCUUUAUAUGUCUAAAGUUUGAUUACAGUGGUUGCUAAAAUUUUGUCUGCAAAAAUAGCAAUCUAUUCCUAGUCUUCAAAAUAAAACUCUCGAUUAACAUGACGUGGCUAUUUAUGAGGCAAUAAGUUGGAUGUUGAGUAAACAUAGUUAAAGUAUAAUUAUUUAUUAUUUGUCGUCUAUUUAUUUUGGAAUUAAGGCGGGAGAAAUCAGCCUCACUUCUGACUAUUUUGUCUAUUGUUUAUUUGUAAACGGAGAUGCUGAUUAGCUAUAAAUAGUUCGCGGAUCAGACUAAACGUUACGGGGGUAAUCAGCCUCAAUUUUGGUUUGUAUUUUUAUCUAUUGUUUAUUUGUAAGGUCGCAGAUCAGAUCAACGCCUGGGAUCAGUCAUAAUGCUAAUUAAUCUGAACUUUUGGAUUUAUUUGAUCAUACUACCGUCGAGAUUUAAUUACAUCUAUCUAUACUAAUAUUUGUGACUUUCGUUUGUCUGUCUCUUUUUCUGUCUGUCUGUCUGUCUGGCGGCUACACUAGGUCUGCCCCGAGUCUGAAAUUUGGGGUAUAGGGGAGUAACAUAGGCCACGUGGCGUUAGUCUACCACUUCCGGUUUCGGGGUUAUGACCCCCGAGCGAAGCCUGUCUGUUCGGGGUUGGCGGCUACACUAGGUCUGUCCCGAGUCUGAAACUUGGGGUAUAGGGGUAGCUCGGACCGGGGAGUAACAUAGGCCAGGUGGCGUUAGUCUACCACUUCCGGUUCCGGGGUUAUGACCCCCGAACGAAGCCGGGUAUCCUGCUAGUCAAUUAAUAUAUGUCAUAAAACAACAUGUGUAUGUAACAUCAUAAUAGACUCUCCAAAAAAAAAAAACGCCAUGUGACAUUUUGUCGUCGGUAUAUCUUUGCUCUACCAUCGCCUCGUUACAACAGGAACCGCGACACGUCGUUGAACCAAACUGCUCUCCAGUGUUGCUGUGGCCAUACCCUUUGUGUCUGAACCCACUGAAGUUGGAUUUCACGACGUCGGCGUAUUUCAAAACAGGAGCUGUAACAGGGACGCCUGGCUCGUAAUCCGGUUUCACGUUGGCGUUUACGGACUGUCUGGUCUGAGAUUAUACGCCGUCCGGGAACUGUUGCUGCAGUAGAGGUCGCUGUGGAGAACCGUUUCCGCCAAUGACGUAACCGGAAGUGGCGAUCCAGGACAGGUGGGGUCACUCUUGUUUGGCCUGAGCUUGGGUGGUCACGUGUUGAACUUCGCUCUCGGUACCUAUCCCAAAGGCGUAAAAUAGAACUCAGGGAACAUUCAACAGUCUGGCUACAUCUGUCUGGGAUUCAACUGCUUGUAAUCGACCAAGAGCAUUGUUGCGUUGGUCUUCGUUCAGAUGUGGCACCACUUGGUUCUUUGAGUGUUUACAUGUGCAACGGAUUUCGAAACCGGGAACCCCGGGAUUUUAAAGGCUUUAGAUUUAGGUUCCAUGCGAAAAGCUCGUUGUUAAAUUCAUAUGUCUUGGUGCAAUCAAGCGAACACAAAUUUCGGCAUAAAGGAUGACUAGUCAUUAUUAGUGACCCUACAUUUAAAACCAAUAAUGAAUUUCUUUUAUCCUUAAUGACAUUAAAAACAAAUAAGAUUUAUGGAAACAACGAUCUCGUUCAAAUAAAAAAAUGAAAAAUGG